rnacentral:rRNA from 1 species
UACGGAAGGCAGCAGUGGGGAAUAUUGCACAAUGGGCGCAAGCCUGAUGCAGCCAUGCCGCGUGUAUGAAGAAGGCCUUCGGGUUGUAAAGUACUUUCAGUCGUGAGGAAGGUGUUAAGGUUAAUAACCUUAGCAAUUGACGUUAGCGACAGAAGAAGCACCGGCUAACUCCGUGCCAGUAGCCGCGGUAAUACGGAGGGUGCGAGCGUUAAUCGGAAUUACUGGGCGUAAAGGGCACGCAGGCGGUUAAUUAAGUUGGAUGUGAAAUCCCCGGGCUUAACCUGGGAAUGGCAUUCAAGCUGGUUAGCUAGAGUCUUGUAGAGGGGGUAGAAUUCCAUGUGUAGCGGUGAAAUGCGUAGAGAUGUGGAGGAAUACCGGUGGCGAAGGCGGCCCCUGGACAAAGGACUGACGCUCAUGUGCGAAAGCGUGGGGAGCAAACGAGGGAUUAGAUACC